rnacentral:rRNA from 1 species
CUGCGGAAGGAUCAUUAAUGAAACUUCAAAGUCGGCCAAAGGUUGUUGCUGGUGAUUAUUCACAUGUGCACGCCUUUGGUCGCAAAUCCACACACACCUGUGCAUCUAUGACUCGAGGUUGUAAUGACUGAGAGUAACUUUUAUACACUCUUGUAUGUAAUGGAAUGUCUUUUUGUGCUAUAAUGUACAAUAUAAACAACUUUCAACAACGGAUCUCUUGGCUCUCGCAUCGAUGAAGAACGCAGCGAAAUGCGAUAAGUAAUGUGAAUUGCARAAUUCAGUGAAUCAUCGAAUCUUUGAACGCACCUUGCACCCUUUGGUAUUCCGAAGGGUAYGCCCGUUUGAGUGUCAUUGUAAUCUCACUUCUACAACUUUAUUGUUGUUUGAAUGUGGACUUGGAUGUUGCCGUUUUAUCACGGCUCGUCUUAAAUGCCUGAGUGUACCCUGUUUUGCAGCGUAUCCAGUGUAAUAAACAUUUCACUAGAGUUGGUCGAAAGACCGCGUUGACUAUAUGGGCUCUAUGCUUCAAACCGYCUGCCAUGUGGACAAUUUCUUGACAAUUUGACCUCAAAUCGGGUGGGACUACCCGCUGAACUUAAGCAUAUCAAUAAGCGGAGGAAAAGAAACUAACAAGGAUUCCCCUAGUAACGGCGAGUGAAGAGGGAAAAGCUCAAAUUUUAAAUCUGGUGUCUUUGACUCCCGAGUUGUAAUCUAGAGAAGUGUUUUCCGUGUCGGACCGUGUACAAGUUCCCUGGAACGGGGCGUCAUAGAGGGUGAGAAUCCCGUAUAUGCCACGGACUACCGAUGCUCUGUGAUACACUCUCAACGAGUCGAGUUGUUUGGGAAUGCAGCUCAAAAUGGGUGGUAAAUUCCAUCUAAAGCUAAAUAUUGGCGAGAGACCGAUAGCGAACAAGUACCGUGAGGGAAAGAUGAAAAGCACUUUGGAAAGAGAGUGAAACAGUACGUGAAAUUGUUGAAAGGGAAGCGUUUGAAGUCAGUCGCAUCUGUUGGGGUUCAGCCUGGCUUUUGCCUGGUGUAUUUCCUUUCCGAUGGGUCAGCAUCARUUUCGACCGAGGGAAAAAGACAUUUGGAAUGUGGCUGUCUUCGGGCAGUGUUAUAGCCUUGKGUUGUAUGUCUCGGUUGGGACUGAGGAUUGCAGCGCGCC